UCUCUUGGUCAUUUAGAGGAAGUAAAAGUCGUAACAAGGUUUCCGUAGGUGAACCUGCGGAAGGAUCAUUACCGAGAGUUGUAGGCUUCUGUCUACCAUCUCUUACCCAUGUCUUUUGCGUACUUAACGUUUCCUCGGCAGGUCCGCCUGCCGUAGGACAAUUAUAAACCAUUUGCAGUUGCAGUCAGCGUCUGAAAAACAUAAUAAUUACAACUUUUAACAACGGAUCUCUUGGUUCUGGCAUCGAUGAAGAACGCAGCGAAAUGCGAUAAGUAGUGUGAAUUGCAGAAUUCAGUGAAUCAUCGAAUCUUUGAACGCACAUUGCGCCCCUUGGUAUUCCAUGGGGCAUGCCUGUUCGAGCGUCAUUUGUACCUUCAAGCUCUGCUUGGUGUUGGGUGUUUGUCCCGCCUUUGUGCGCGGACUCGCCUUAAAGCAAUUGGCAGCCGGCGUAUAGAUUUCGGAGCGCAGCACAAUCCGCGCUUUGUACUCAUUACGACGACAUCCAUCAAGACAUUUUUUAACUCUUGACCUCGGAUCAGGUAGGGAUACCCGCUGAACUUAAGCAUAUCAAUAAGCGGAGGAA
rnacentral:rRNA from 1 species